rnacentral:tRNA from 2 species
GUGGUUCAAGUCCACUUAGGCCCA